rnacentral:rRNA from 1 species
GACGAACGCUGGCGGCGUGCUUAACACAUGCAAGUCGAACGGAAAGGCCUGCUUUCCCUUGUGGAUUGCGGGUACACGAGUGGCUAACGGGUGAGUAACCCGUGAGUGAUCUGCCCCCAAGUUUGGUAUAAGCCUGGGAAACCGGGUCUAAUUCCCGAUCGGACUGCAGGGUGGUGCCAGGGGUGGUAAACGAUUUUCUAGUGGUUGGGGAUGCGCGUGCGGCCUAUCAGCUUGUUGGUGGGGUAAUGGGCUACCAAGGCGGCGACGGGUAGCCGGCCGGAGAGGGCGGGCGUGCACAGUGGGACUGAGACACUGCCCAGACGACAACGGGAGGCAGCAGUCGGGAAGAAGGCGCGAGGGGUGGAAGCCUGAGGCAGCGAGGCUGCUUGAGGGAUGCCGGGCUUCGGGUGGUAACCUUCUUUCUACAGCGAUGAAGCCGCCUGGAUGGAGGGGUGGUGACGGUAGUGGUAGAAGAAGCACCGGCUAACUACGUG